AACGCACAUUGCGCCCCUUGGUAUUCCUUGGGGCAUGCCUGUUCGAGCGUCACUAUAAACCCUCUCACGAAUCUAGUGGUAUUGACGGUAGUGGAUCAGGGUCACUGAUGUGCCCAUGUCACUCUGUUGAAAUGGAUUGCCAGGACAAUUGACCUCCGCAACAGACUUAGUAAAUGUUUACUGUACAUAAACCAGUCCUAUGCUGGGUCUUAGCCUGCCUUUAUGGACCCCCAUCCAAUAUAAACUCUGGGUUGACCUCGGAUCAGGUAGGGAUACCCGCUGAACUUAA
rnacentral:misc_RNA from 1 species